GUGUUAUCUGGGAGGUAAACAAAAACAGAUCGAUUGCGUAUCUUGAAACGUGGUGAAUUCUAGUAAAUUCACUUACUUUUGUCAUUCACUUGUUUCAAUACACGCAAUCGACUCUCAGACCUCGUGACUUCCUACCGAAAAGAAACCGUGCGGUUCAAGGAUCCGAUAUUUAUCAAAGGUUUACAACGGAAUUGACACAAUAUUCGGACUGUACCAGUAGUACUUGGUUGUUGUCCUCCGUCUUCACACAAUUAUCGCCAUAGAAAUUAUCUAAUUUAAUGAAUUACUUGCUGAUAAACUCCUUGAUAAGAUAGUUCAGCAGUGCAAUUCCAAACAACAGACCUCAUGACUUCCCACCGAAAAGAAACGUGCGGUUCAAGGAUCCGAUAUUUAUCAAAGGUUUACAACGGAAUUGACACAAUAUUCGGACUGUACCAGUAGUACUUGGUUGUUGUCCUCCGUCUUCACACAAUUAUCGCCAUAGAAAUUAUCU